rnacentral:rRNA from 1 species
GACGAAGGAUGCAAGCGUUAUCCGGAUUCAUUGGGUUUAAAGGGUGCGUAGGCGGACUGAUAAGUCAGUGGUGAAAUCUCUCGGCUUAACCGAGAAACUGCCAUUGAUACUGUUAGUCUAGAGUACAGAUGAUGUGGGCGGAAUAUGACAUGUAGUGGUGAAAUACUUAGAUAUGUCAUAGAACACCGAUUGCGAAGGCAGCUCACAAAACUGUAACUGACGCUGAGGCACGAAAGUGCGGGGAUCAAACAGGAUUAGAUACCCUGGUAGUCCGCACCGUAAACGAUGAUUACUCGUUGUUGGCAAUAUGACCGUCAGCGACCAAGCGAAAGCGAUAAGUAAUCCACCUGGGGAGUACGCCGGCAACGGUG